rnacentral:rRNA from 1 species
CCUACGGGCGGCAGCAGUGGGGAAUAUUGCACAAUGGGGGAUACCCUGAUGCAGCGACGCCGCGUGAGUGAAGAAGUAUUUCGGUAUGUAAAGCUCUAUCAGCAGGGAAGAAAAUGACGGUAUCUGAGUAAGAAGCCCCGGCUAACUACGUGCCAGCAGCCGCGGUAAUACGUAGGGGGCAAGCGUUAUCCGGAUUUACUGGGUGUAAAGGGAGCGUAGACGGCAGGGCAAGUCUGGAGUGAAAGGCUGGGGCUUAACCCUAGAACUGCUUUGGAAACUGUACAGCUGGAGUGCAGGAGAGGUAAGCGGAAUUCCUAGUGUAGCGGUGAAAUGCUUAGAUAUUAGGAGGAACACCAGUGGCGAAGGCGGCUUACUGGACUGUAACUGACGUUGAGGCUCGAAAGCGUGGGGAGCAAACAGGAUUAGAUACCCGAGUAGUC